rnacentral:rRNA from 1 species
UGGGGAAUAUUGCACAAUGGGCGCAAGCCUGAUGCAGCCAUGCCGCGUGUAUGAAGAAGGCCUUCGGGUUGUAAAGUACUUUCAGCGAGGAGGAAGGAGUUGUGGUUAAUAACCGCAACGAUUGACGUUACUCGCAGAAGAAGCACCGGCUAACUCCGUGCCAGCAGCCGCGGUAAUACGGAGGGUGCAAGCGUUAAUCGGAAUUACUGGGCGUAAAGCGCACGCAGGCGGUCUGUCAAGUCGGAUGUGAAAUCCCCGGGCUCAACCUGGGAACUGCAUCCGAAACUGGCAGGCUAGAGUCUUGUAGAGGGGGGUAGAAUUCCAGGUGUAGCGGUGAAAUGCGUAGAGAUCUGGAGGAAUACCGGUGGCGAAGGCGGCCCCCUGGACAAAGACUGACGCUCAGGUGCGAAAGCGUGGGGAGCAAACA